AUUGAACGCUGGCGGCAGGCUUAACACAUGCAAGUCGAGCGGAGAUGAGGUGCUUGCACCUUAUCUUAGCGGCGGACGGGUGAGUAAUGCUUAGGAAUCUGCCUAUUAGUGGGGGACAACAUUCCGAAAGGAAUGCUAAUACCGCAUACGCCCUACGGGGGAAAGCAGGGGAUCUUCGGACCUUGCGCUAAUAGAUGAGCCUAAGUCGGAUUAGCUAGUUGGUGGGGUAAGGGCCUACCAAGGCGACGAUCUGUAGCGGGUCCGAGAGGAUGAUCCGCCACACUGGGACUGAGACACGGCCCUGACUCCUACGGGAGGCAGCAGUGGGGAAUAUUGGACAAUGGGCGGAAGCCUGAUCCAGCCAUGCCGCGUGUGUGAAGAAGGCCUUUUGGUUGUAAAGCACUUUAAGCGAGGAGGAGGCUACCUGGAUUAAUACUCUAGGAUAGUGGACGUUACUCGCAGAAUAAGCACCGGCUAACUCUGUGCCAGCAGCCGCAGUAACAC
rnacentral:rRNA from 1 species